UACGGAGGGUGCAAGCGUCAAUCGGAUUUAUUGGGCGUAAAGGGCGCGUAGGCGGAAUGCUAAGUCAGAUGUGAAAGCCCAGGGCUCAACCCUGGAACAGCAUUUGAAACUAGUAUUCUCGAGGGUAGGCGGAGAAAACGGAAUUCCACAAGUAGCGGUGAAAUGCGUAGAUAUGUGGAAGAACACCUGUGGCGAAGGCGGUUUUCUAGCUUAUACCUGACGCUGAUGCGCGAAAGCAAGGGGAUCAAACAGG
rnacentral:rRNA from 1 species